GUCGUACUCCAUCCGCUUGGUGGGCAUCCAGUCCUCAAAUACUGAAGGUGCGUCCGUUUAAUGUGGCGAAAGAAAGAGUUAAAAACUCUAAAGUCCUGUUCACAUCCAUCAAUACCACAGUAAACCCAAAAAUCCGGGCUGCGACUGUGACUUUUAUUAAUGUGGCUAAGGAGUACUUUAAGACUUAAAGCAACAAAGACGAAACAUAUCAUACACCUCCACGCCGCCAUGAUGCACCGUUGUUGUCGCGGGCUAAUGAUCCAGAGGUGGAUGGGGAGGGGGGCACUCAUGAAAUAAUUUGUUAUUAUUUUAACAAUACAUUCCUCUAAUUAUAAAUGCGACUUAAUUAAUUUUACGAUGGUAAGUUUUUAAAAAAUAAUAUUUUGCUAACAUGUUCAUGUUUACGUCCGAUCAUUUCUGCGCAUCCUCAGUUCAUGUCCUCCAACGGUCCCACCUCAAUGACGUCAGUGUUCGCGGUUCACCGCUUGAGUAACUGAAAGAUUUGGGUGCGUUACAUUUGACGAAGAAGUGCAAGAAGAGCGGCUCAAUGGAGCUGAUGAAUCUAAGAUGGAUACUUUUGACGAUGCCACUCUAUCGGUGUUGGAGGUGUGAAAAUACCACGGACCAAGAUGCCAACAAUUGUGCCAUGCCACCAUGCCAGCCUCAAACCUCAACCCCCAUAUCUGCUGAGAAAAAAAUGAAAAUGCCAGACCCUCCAGAGUAUGUGGUGUACACAGAUUCAGAGUUAGACAUGGUGCGUAGUCAAUACUUUGCACUGCUCUGCAAUGGAAAGGAAAAAAAUUACAAACUGUCCAAGGAGCUAUGUUGCAGACUUGUAAGGAACACAAUAACCAGUAUGGUUGCUAUCCUGCGUGCUAGUCCCAUGGGGAAAGAAGUCAGUUACCCGUCAAAAUUGGAAAUAAGAGCCAUGUCACAGAAGAUUAUAGACUAUUACCCAAUGUUACGGGAUGAUGAUCCAAACAUGCCUUAUCUGACUAUCUACACCAAAAUGUACAAGCGACUCCAAAAUAUGAGAUCCCCACGGAAGAGGCAAGGCUCUGUACCACAAAGAGG
ensembl:lncRNA